rnacentral:lncRNA from 1 species
UCGGCGGGAAUAUUUUGGUGCAAAAUCUUUCCAAACUGCAUAAUAAUGAAUCAAUCAGUACUAACUGAAAUGUACUCAAAUUAUUGACCAUACUAUAGUGGGGUCAGCACUGAGUGAAGUUGCACUAAGCAAGGUAUUCCUGUACUUGGUCUUGAACUUGAAAUGUACAACCAGUUCUUUGUCUCCAGCAAUAGCAGGCAAGAAACUUCCAAUUUCUGGAAGUUGACAAUAGACAGCAAUGAAAGAUACACUUUGCAAGACAUCAUCACUGUGAAUAUUUUUCCUGAUAAGAUGUUGUGCUUCAUUGCUACUUCUAUUUGCAUGUCCAUGUAUAUAAUGAAUAUCAGCCAACUCAACAUUAGUGUACUAAUGCAUGUCACUGUUUUUUAAUUGUUGACAACAUUGUGAAGUGUCAAUUGGAUGCCAACUGAGCCAAACACAAAGUGCAAUUAAUACCCAUCCACCCUACCUACUAUGGGAUCAAUCAGAAAUUUACAUAUCAAAUUUCUGUGAUAUCUCAGAAAUAAAGUAUUUGAAGUCCUAUGUUCAGGGAGACUUUUCAU